CACUGUAAUGGAAGCACAUUGGAAGCAUUGUAAUGGAACCAUUGUAAUGGAAGCACAUCAGAACCAAAGUAUGCGUGGUUUCUAAAAUGAUGCCAGUGACGCCUCUAUUCCUUUAAAGACAGCAUGGCUAAAACACAGCCAGCUAAUGACUUUAAACAGAUUCCACCCUGUUCCAACCACAGCAGACACAGACUGGAAAUUGUCCAAGCUUACCCCUUUCCUGGUGCUUACUGAAACAGCAACAACAAUAGAAUGUGUGUGCGGGGGGAACACCCUACAGUACAUAAAAAUAGUUCCUUGGACUCCCAUUCAGUUUCUGGCUGUCCCACGGUUGCUUCUGCAAAGAGUGAGGAGAUAGAUUCUAUGUAUAGAUGGUUUCAUUUUCCUUAAAUGUGUGACUCAGAGUCUUGGCUUCUUCUUUUAUUUUUUUUAAAAAAGUUUGUCCUUUCAGAUUAGAUUAGUGGGAAACCCCCACUCGCCCACCCAUUUUCACCCCAUAGCCCAGGCUCUCAGACCCUACCUCCAAGUGUUCUUAUCUCCUUCAUUUUCUGUUCUGCAAACCUUCUCCCUUCGCUGCAGUGUCUAGGUGUCUCUCAUGUUCAUACAGCCAAUCGUCCUCUUUUAGACCUCCCUUCCCCUGCUCUAGUGUCUGCCUUUCCUCUGCUUCAUCCAGUUCCUACUAUUAUAGGCUUGAUCCAAAGCCAGUUGAAGUCAAUGGCAGUCUUUCCAUUGACUUCAGUGGGCUCUGGUUUAGGUCCCCUAUUACUGACUACCCUGCUCAGCCAUGUUACUAAUUAUUAACAUUCCCAUCUUUCUUCCUCCCUACUUUCUCUCUUCAGGGAAUCUGCUUUAAUGUAAUUACGCUAGGCAGAUGGAGUAAUUAACCUAUCAUUCAAAGUCCUCCACUUAACUCUCCACUAACCUUACCAGGCAACCUAAAACUAGUGGUGAGGUCUACAAGCACCAGGGCCCCAUGCUCCCUUGCCUUCAAAUCUUCCCUGUUUUUAUAAGGCUAUGCUGACACUAUAAUUGGAGUUGUAAUUGCAGCACAUGUACACACUGCUGAGCUAGCUUUAAUACAGUUAUGUUAGGUACCAAUAGUAGUAAAUCACAGGCUGUAGCAUAGACUAGCCAUUGAGUAUGUACUCAGGCUUCCUAGAGGGUUUGGACUUAGGCAGCUAGCCUUUGCUUCCGCGGCUUUGCUACUAUUGGUACUCACGCUAGCUAGAUUAAAGCUAGUUUGGGUAUAUCUACAUGUGCUGUAAUCACACCUUGGACUGCUGUGUGAAAAAUUGGGACCUCAAGGGAGGUGUAUGAGUGUGAUUAAAGCGGUUUUGGCUGUGGAGAUGGGGGUGACAGAGGCUGGAGGGCUAGAGGGAAGAAAAGGGUGCCUGACUCUUCCCUCUCCUUUCUACCUCUCUGUUUCAGAACAAAAAAUGGAGACCCAUUACAGUAAAUGGACAGAGUGAGAGAAAACAUUUAUUUUUCUGUCAUCCCUUCACAGUUUUCUCCUAAUCCCAGCUUCACCCCUAGCUUUUAUCCUCGUAUCUCCUGGUACUUUCUUCCCUGCACACCAUUAUCAUUCACUCACACCUAUGCUCCAUUCCUCUUACCUAUCUCAUUUCCUUCACAAAGCUGCCAACCCUAGAGAUCACCUUUUCAGCUCAAAACUCCUCCCCACCUGUGUUUCCUCCAGUACAAAGGUAUUCAGAGCUUUCUUCACACCCUGCCUCCCAGUCUCAGAACCUCUCCUUCCCACUUUCCUGAUGUAAAGCUGCCCUAAAGAUGGUUAGUUGGCUGCAGGAGGAUCCAGCCUCCUUCAGGGGAUCCUCAGAUUGAUGUAGAAUUGCUGUAGCAACUCCUACACCACUCCAUCCCUCUGAUCCGUGCAGGUGACAUGGCCAAGUGAAGAGACCCAUAGUUCCGACGCCCCAUUGAUCCCUGGCUUCCAAAAUGGCCCAUAGUCAUCCCUCAGGCUGCCCUAAAUUGCAUCAGGUGGACUGGCUUGUCACAGACUGGCCUAGGACUGGGAGAGCGAAAGAGUAAUUUAAGCCCCUCUUUGCACCCUGACCUUCUAGUUCUCACUCUCUGCACAGUAUCUGGCCCUGGCAGUCCGACUACUCAUUUUACAGAUGCAAUCAGGUAAAUGCUAAUAUUGGCACUUGCAAUUUGGUGUCUAUGAAACCAGAGGCCAUUUGUGAAAAUCAAACCCAAAUAUUUUAACCAAAAUACCACUGAAGUCUGUCAUGUUUGUCUACUUAUGAACAUCUGGCACUGCAGAUAUACAAUAAUAAUAUCCAGUCUGGCGUAAAAACAUUCCAGCAUAAUUAAUUGAGACUCUAUAAAAACAUAACUGGCAAAUUGGCACACUACUAACAUAUUAAUACUCUGACCCUUGCUAUAUGAGCCUCAUGAAUUCUGAUGCAUUACAUUGCCAUAGGAUGCUGUGAUAGACAUAGAAAAGUGAAGCAGUGAGGUAACAGAGCUCAGUUGCACCAAUCAAAAGGUUGCUGUGUUCAAAGACAAGGAUUAGUGUUAAUAAUUUUCCCCCAGGGAAUGAAAUACUGGAUCCAGGUUCCUUUAAAGCCUGUAGGUAGAGAAUGAGUGUUGUCAUGAUGCAGAAAGGAGAAGAUUCUUGUAAAUAGGUUAUUUUAGCUCUUUUUGUUUGAUAAGAAUGGCUAGGAGAUAAAACUUUCUGAGAUGCUUUCCCACAUAACUGUCUUUUUUAUUAUUAUUGAUCACAUUUACACAUAGGAAUAUAUAUACACAGCACUUGUUACAAGCCAUUUACACCCUUAGGUAGCUUGUACAAAUAUGACAAUAUUCUGUGAUAAUGGUCCAGUGACACUUGCUAUUAUUAUUGUCAUUGUUAUUGUUACUGUUGUGGUUGCAGCAGCGUCUCAAGGCCAGGGUCAGGGCCACAUUGUGCUAGUGUGUGCAAUUAAAAGAUGUCCUUCCUUGUCCUUAAGAGUCUACAAAUUAAGUAUAAGAUAAGAAACAACAGGUGGAUACAACAAACAGAGCACAAGGGAGCAGUGAUAUAGUUAUGAUUCAUGUAAUAAGCAGUGGUCAUAGCACACCAGUUGCCUAACCAUUGUCAAGUGUUCUGUAGGCAUCGUGAAACAGGUGUAUUUUAAGAAAGGUCUAAAAGAUGACAAUGGAGUGCCUUUGAAGAGCUUCUUCCUUCCACAAGAGGCGGCAUGGGAGAAAGCAUGAAGGUGCAUGUUAGAAAAUUUGAAAUAUGGUGGUGUGGACCAUGAUAGCAUUAUAUUCUGGUAUACUAUUAUGUAUUUGUUUUGGGUCUCUUAGAUACACAAGGGUGUUGGGGUUGGUCCUGCUUUGAGCAGGGGAUUUGACUAGAUGACCUCCUAAGGUCUCUUCCAACCCUCAUAUUCUAUGAUUCUACUCUAUGAUUCUAUGAAAUCUUGGCCCUGUUAAGUCAAUGGCGAAACUUCAUAUUGACUUCAGUAGUGCUAGAAUUUCACCCUGAGAGUAGGGACACCAAAGAAAAGGGGAGUUAUACAUGUAGCUUUUGAAUCAGUGUAUGCCUGGUAACACUUCAAAUGUGUUUGUAUAGUACAGGGCUAGUUACAGGACCUUCUGGAAGUGAGAAUUUUCCCUCUCCAGUUUACUCCCAUUGAGUUCAAUAGGAUUGCUUACAUGAAUAAAGAUGCUCAAUGUGAAUAAGUGUUUGCAAGACAUAGCUGAAACAUAUGAUAUAUUCUUUCUCAUAUUUACUAUAUUCAAUACUUGAGAAUAUUUUUGUGUGUGGUAUUUUAUAUAUAAGGUGAAAAAAAAUAAUUCAUACACAAUGACAUAUUGUGUCUGUCUCCAGUUAUUAUAUGAGUAUGUUAUUAAUCUGCUUAGAGUUCUGUAUAGGUUUCAUUUUUCAUGUCUCUGCUACUUAUAUACCUUCAGGCUUCUAAGUAAAUUAUAACAUAUUAAAAUUAUUUGUAUGGUUUUGGAUUCAUAUAAAUAAGUGGGCC